rnacentral:rRNA from 1 species
CCUACGGGUGGCUGCAGUGGGGAAUAUUGGACAAUGGGCGAAAGCCUGAUCCAGCCAUGCCGCGUGUGUGAAGAAGGCCUUCGGGUUGUAAAGCACUUUCAGUGGGGAAGAAAGCCUUGGGGCUAAUACCCUCGAGGAAGGACAUCACCCACAGAAGAAGCACCGGCUAACUCCGUGCCAGCAGCCGCGGUAAUACGGAGGGUGCGAGCGUUAAUCGGAAUUACUGGGCGUAAAGCGCGCGUAGGCGGUCUGAUAAGCCGGUUGUGAAAGCCCCGGGCUCAACCUGGGAACGGCAUCCGGAACUGUCAGGCUAGAGUGCAGGAGAGGAAGGUAGAAUUCCCGGUGUAGCGGUGAAAUGCGUAGAGAUCGGUAGGAAUACCAGUGGCGAAGGCGGCCUUCUGGACUGACACUGACGCUGAGGUGCGAAAGCGUGGGUAGCAAACAGGAUUAGAUACCCCAGUAGUC